rnacentral:rRNA from 1 species
UACAGAGGGUGCAAGCGUUAAUCGGAAUGACUGGGCGUAAAGCGUGUGUAGGUGGUUGGAUAAGUUAGAUGUGAAAUCCCCGGGCUUAACCUGGGCACUGCGUUUAAGACUGUUCAACUAGAGUACUGUAGAGGGUAGUGGAAUUUCCAGUGUAGCGGUGAAAUGCGUAGAUAUUGGAAGGAACACCAGUGGCGAAGGCGACUACCUGGAUAGAUACUGACACUGAGACACGAAAGCGUGGGGAGCAAACAGG